CCUACGGGAGGCAGCAGUAGGGAAUAUUGGGCAAUGGAGGCAACUCUGACCCAGCCAUGCCGCGUGCAGGAAGACGGUCCUCUGGAUUGUAAACUGCUUUUGAAUGGGAAGAAUGUGCUCCUUGCGAGGGGUAAUGACGGUACCAUUAGAAUAAGCCACGGCUAACUACGUGCCAGCAGCCGCGGUAAUACGUAGGUGGCGAGCGUUAUCCGGAUUUAUUGGGUUUAAAGGGUGCGUAGGCGGCUUAAUAAGUCGGUGGUUAAAAGUAGCAGCUUAACUGUUUUACAUGCCAUCGAUACUGUUGAGCUUGAGAUAUUUGGAGGCAGCUAGAAUUUCCGGUGUAGCGGUGAAAUGCAUAGAUACCGGAAGGAAUACCAAUUGCGAAGGCAGGUUGCUACGAAUAAACUGACGCUGAUGCACGAAAGCGUGGGGAUCAAACAGGAUUAGAUACCCUGGUAGUCCACGCCGUAAACGAUGAUUACUAGUUGUUGGGGUUUUAAGCCUUCAGUGACCAAGGGAAACCGAUAAGUAAUCCACCUGGGGAGUACGCCGGCAACGGUGAAACUCAAAGGAAUUGACGG
rnacentral:rRNA from 1 species